GGCUCCAUAGCUCAGUUGGUUAGAGCGCCAGUCUUGUAAACUGGAGGUCGCGAGUUCCACUCUCGCUGGAGCCU
rnacentral:tRNA from 1 species